rnacentral:rRNA from 1 species
AGAGUUUGAUUAUGGCUCAGAANNNACGCUGGCGGCAUGCCUAACACAUGCAAGUCGAACGCGGGGCUUCGGCCCCGAGUGGCGCACGGGUGAGUAGCGCGUGGGAACCUGCCCUUCAGUGGGGGAUAACCGAGGGAAACUUCGGCUAAUACCGCAUGCGCCCGGAGCAAUCCGGGGAAAGAUUUAUCGCUGAAGGAGGGGCCCGCGUCGGAUUAGCUAGUUGGUAGGGUAACGGCCUACCAAGGCUUUGAUCCGUAGCUGGUCUGAGAGGAUGAUCAGCCACACUGGGACUGAGACACGGCCCAGACUCCUACGGGAGGCAGCAGUGGGGAAUAUUGGACAAUGGGCGAAAGCCUGAUCCAGCAAUGCCGCGUGAGUGAGGAAGGCCUUAGGGUUGUAAAGCUCUUUCGGCGGGGACGAUGAUGACGGUACCCGCAGAAGAAGCCCCGGCUAACUUCGUGCCAGCAGCCGCGGUAAUACGAAGGGGGCGAGCGUUGUUCGGAUUUACUGGGCGUAAAGGGCGCGCAGGCGGUCAUUUUUGUCGAGUGUGAAAGCCCCGGGCUUAACCUGGGAACUGCGCUCGAAACGGGAUGACUAGAGAUCGGGAGAGGAGAGUGGAAUUCCCAGUGUAGAGGUGAAAUUCGUAGAUAUUGGGAAGAACACCCGUGGCGAAAGCGGCGCGCUGGACCACUACUGACGCUGAGGAACGAAAGCUAGGGGAGCAAACAGGAUUAGAUACCCUGGUAGUCCUAGCCCUAAACGAUCAGGACU